AGGAGCUUGGUCAUGCUAAUCCAUUCCUGGGAUUGGAAAAGAUAGGAUUUCUAAGGCUCUGAAGAAGUAGCAAUUGGUAUUUAUCAGUCAAUGCUUCUCUAACCCAUGGAAUAACAAGAAAAUACUUUGCAUGAAGAUCAUGGUUCACAGUCUGCAAGACGAAGCACGUAUGGCAAGGAGGAGCAGCAGGCCAAGGGCUCUCUUCCUGCAGCUCAAGGACCAGAGCUCCUAGAAACUGGGGGAUGAGGUUUUGCUUUCAGAUGAUUGUCAAAGGGGUGAGAGGGCAUCUGGCCUGGAGUGAGCAUGAGGGUUCAGAUGUGCAAAGGUAGAAGAGUUGAGCACUCCUCUGCUUGGGACAUAUGCUUGGGACAUAUGACGAAGAUUUGUAUGUGUG
rnacentral:lncRNA from 1 species